UGGAAGUAAAAGUCGUAACAGGUUUCCGUAGGUGAACCUGCGGAAGGAUCAUUAAAAAUGUGGUACCAAUUAUUGGUACUAAUUAAUCAUCCUACCCUUUGUGAAUUUGUUUGUAUGAAUUUUUUUAAAUGGGUCUUUCCCUAAGUUGGAUUGUUAGUAAAAUACAAAAAGACUUAGGGGAAUGACUUUUUUAAAAGACUUUUUUUAAUUAAAACUUUUUGUAUUCAUUUGUCUAAAAUUUAUUUUUAUAAUAUAAAAACAACUUUUGACAAUGGAUCUCUUGGUUCUCGCAACGAUGAAGAACGCAGCAAAAUGCGAUAAGUAGUGUGAAUUGCAGAAUACGUGAAUCAUCGAAUCUUCGAACGCAUAUUGCACUUUUUUAGUUUACUAAAAAAGUAUGUCUGUUUGAGUAUCAGUAAAAUAUUCUCACAAACAUAUAUUGUUUGUGGUUAUGAGUGUUUUACAACGAUAAACAAGUUGUUUCACUUUAAAUUCUUUAUUGAAGUUUUAUACCAAUUUCAAAUUAAAAUUGGAUAAAAUUUUCCUUUAACGAGGAAUAACCUAAACAAUUUUAAAUUUUAUGGAUUGUAAAAUCCAUCAAAGGAAUCUAUAACAUAAAUAACUUGAUCUCAAAUCAGAUAAGAGUACCCGCUGAACUUAAGCAUAUCAAUAAGCGGAGGAAAAGAGACUAACAAGGAUUCCCUUAGUAACGGCGAGUGAAGCGGGAAGAGCUCAAAUUUGAAAUCUUCAAGGUUUGACCUUGACGAAUUGUAGUUUAUAGAAGUGUUUUCUGUUGGAGUUUUGGUAAAGUUCUUUGGAAUAGGACAUCAUAGAGGGUGAGAAUCCCGUAUUUGACCAUGACUUUCCAGCUGUGUGAUACACUUUCAAAGAGUCGGAUUGUUUGGGAAUGCAGUCCAAAAUGGGUGGUAAAUUUCAUCUAAAGCUAAAUAUUGGCGAGAGACCGAUAGCGAACAAGUACCGUGAGGGAAAGAUGAAAAGAACUUUGAAAAGAGAGUUAAACAGUACGUGAAAUUGUCAAAAGGGAAGCGUUUGACACCAGUGUUGUUUUCUCGAAAAUCAAUUUAAUGAGUUCUUGUUUUUAAGUUAUUGUGACUUUAUCAGCGCAUUUCUUAUUUUACUUGACUCGUUGAAUGCACUUUUCGUUUAACAAGUCAACAUCAAUUUCUUUGGUGGUAAAAAGUUUAAAGGAAGGUGGCUUGGACUUCGGUUCAAGUGUUUAUAGCCUUUUUUCUAUGCCAUCGGAGAGAUUGAGGUCUGCAGCGUAGAUCCUUCGGGGUUAGAUACCUUUGUGCUAAGUUAUAGCUUUUUAUAGACAACUUGUUGACUAUAAUUAACCCUGUAAUUUACUCGCUUAGGCUAUUUUACCUACGCUUAGGAUGUUGAG
rnacentral:misc_RNA from 1 species